CGAAGAGCCUCUGGUUCGUCACGUGGGUUCUGGCCUCUGAGGCAUCCUCCACCUCUCCGUAAGCGCAACCAGGAAGGGAGGAGGGAAAUGUGGCAGCAUCCCGGGUCACCGCUGGCUCCCCUGCCUAGGUUCACACUGUGGACAGAAUCCAGCCUUCUCCAAAGAAGAUGCCCAGAACCAACCUUUCUGGUUCCAGACUGGUUCCCUGACCUCCCCAUCCUCUUCCCAUACUAAAUGCUGUGGAGACUCUCCUCCCACAGGCCCUGCUUGCACCCCUCCGUCAUUGUGAGGAUGAAUUGUCUGACUGAGAGACAGCAUGGGGCCAAAGAGGAUUGUUGAGUUCCCCAGUUCUCCCACCCCCAUAACCAAUCAUGAAGCCUUCAAUUCUAUGAUAUUGGUUAUCCUGUCUGUUCCUUGCUCUGCACAUUAAUAGAGGCAAUCCCCUGACUCAUUUUACUUAAAAGCAGCAUUCCCCUGCUUAUCUUCCUUGAAGAAUUGCCUCAGUUUACUCUUUGGUUAAAUUUCACUCCCAACACCUGCAAAUGUGAGCUUCACAAUAUUGGACAGAACAGCAGAUGUCCACUAAUGAAGAGGAGUCUGAAAUAUUUUUAGAAAGAAAACUGGAAGGGAAGAGGUCAUUUGCUUCUUGAAGACCCAGAGCAGCAGAAAGCAGGAGUGAAUACCUGAAGCCAGCAGUGGCAGCAGAGGAACAUCAGAGAGAGCAGAAAACGUUUCCUUUAAAAACUAUAGCUGAAGAAAGGGAGGAAUAGGGAAAGCCCUUAGGGCUAGAAGUGAAGACAAAGAGAGGGGAUCAUGGGGAGAAUCUUGUGGCAUUACAUCUGCUCCAGGAGGAUGCUUCUUGUAUUGGACUUCACAGGACCACAGGGGAAAGGAGGUAUAUACAGAGAAGGCGGUGAUGUACCCAGGGAAUCUCAAGGAUCAGCAAUGUUCUACUCCAUUCCCUCUAUGUUCAGCACUUGUUCUGCCCCAGGCCCUGUACCAAGCUCUGGGCAUUCCCCAACAGGCAAAAAACAAUCCUUGUCCUCAAGGAGCUUACAAUCAAGUGGCAGAAGGAGACAUACCAACAAAAAUGGACACCCAGCAAGCUCUGUCUAGGAGACAUGGAGAAGAAUUAAAAGAAUGAUGGCACUCUAAUUAAGAGGGAUGAGGAAAGCUUUUCCUGUAGAACCUUUUUAGUUGGGACAUACAGGAAGUUCAAAGCAGACAGUGUGCCUAACUGUGGAGGAAAAAUAUUCCAGGCAUGAGGUAAAGCCAUCAAAAAUCCCUGAAGUUAGAGGCAGCCAGAUCCCAUAGUGGACAGAGUGCCAGAUCUGGAGGCAGGAGGACCUGGGUUCAAAUGUGACCUGAGACACUUCCUACCUACAUGAUCUUGGGCAUCUUAACUUAGCCCUAAUUACCUAGCUCUUGUCGUCCUAUCUUAGAAUUGAUUAAAAAAUGGAAGAUCUGGGUUAACAAUAAACAACUUUUCCAUUUGGGGGCAGUUAGGUGACUGUGAAUAGAGAACUAGAACUAGAAAUAGGAGGCUCUGGGUUCAAAUCUGUACUCAGAUACUUUCUACCUACUUGACCUUCAGUAACACACUCAUCUCCAACUGCCUACCUCUAGCCCAUUUGCAACAGAUGAUGAGCAUCAAUUCUAAGAUAGAAGGUAAAGUGAUUUUUUUUUAAGUUUGGGGGAUUAACAUAUAAGAAGAUUGGAAAGAAGGACUUUGAACACCAAGCAGAAUGUUUUGCAUAUGAUACUGGAGAGAAUAAGGAGCCACAGGGGUAUAUGGGGUAGAGAGGAGUGAUACAAUCAGAACUGCACUGUAGGAAAAUCACUAGUGGCUGAUUGGAGGACACCUUGGAGUGGGGAGAGCCUUGUGGUGGACAGAGCCAGCAGCAGACUGUAUAUAGUUCAGGAGGGUGGUGAUGCGGGACUCCAGCAGACAGAUGGCAGUGACACGGGACAGAAGGGGAGUAUUGGAGAGAUGUUCCAAAGGAGAAAGUGAAGGUGCCAUAUUGGAUAUGUAGGUAGGGGACAGAGAGGAGUCAAGGGGGGCUCCUAGGACAAGGAGUAUACAGCUAUAGAGAAGGUGGGAGUUCUGUCUAGGUGAGAGAGAACAAUGUCUGCUUUGGACACACACAGAGCUCAAGAUGUCUGCUGUUCAUCUAGUGUGAAAUCCAUGUAAGGAAAGGAGAGAUGGAAGACUGGAGGUCAGCCUAGACAAUGUAGAUCUGAGCCUCAUCAGCAGAGAUGGUGAUGGCAUCCCUGGUAGCUAAUGGGAUCACCAAGUAAAGAUGUCUCGAGGGAGAAUAGUAGAUAACAAAAGACAAGGCUGGAGGAGCUCCCCCACCCUCACCCUAACCCUGCUGCUACCAGAUCUAAAGGACGAGCCAGAAGAGACAGAGAAUCAGAAGUUAGAGAAGUAGGAGCUAAACCAGGAGGGAGAGAGGGCCAUGUCCUAAAAACCAAGAGAGAAGAGAAUAUCUAGGAGGAAAGAGGGGGCCAAAAGCAUCAAAGGCUGCAGACAGGAAUGAGACAAGGAGGUGGUCUCUGUCUCAGAAACAGAAGGGCAGAUCCACCACUCAGAAUAUCUUUCCAACUAAUCACUACAAACUGUCUCAAAAGGACAAAAAUCAAAAUCAGACAAGUGAAGGGGCUCUCCCACAGGGUAAAGUUUUAAAGGUAGUCAGUGUUUGGGGGCAGAACUACAGUUACCAAACUGUGAGUUGAUCACCUUUCCCCCAUACCAGCUAUCCCCUGAGGACAGUGCAAGACCUUGGCAUAAAAACUUGGGACCUGAGACUGAAGAAACUGAGCCUGGGCAGCAGACCUCAGAGACUGGACAAAAUCAGGGCUAGCCACAGCAGAGGCAGCAGAGCCUGGAAAAAUAGCCUCAGGGCAAACCCCAUUUAAAGUUGGCUAAAGGAAGAACUGCCUGGAAGAGACUACCAACAAAAGCCCUGGGAGACAGAAGCUGAGAAAGCAAUGCCCACCAACAUGCAGGAAACACGAUCCAAGAGUAGCAAAAGAAAUAAGUUGCAACAACAAAAAAACAAAACAAAAACUUUUGACCCUGGAUAAUUUCAAUGGAGAAAAAGUGCAAAAUACAGAAGCAACAGCAGAGAGUAACAAACAAACAAACACAUUCAAACUUUCCAAAAAAAUACAAAUUGGUCACAAGCUCUUGUGACCAAAAAGGAGUUCAAGAACCAAAUAAAAAAGAAGAAAAGUGGGAAAAAGUAAAGAAAGUGAUUCAAAAAGAAAAUAACAGCUUAAAAGGCAAAAUUGCCCAUAUGAAAAAACAGGCACAGAAAUGAAAUUAAAUAAUAAGCAAAUUGGAGACCAGAACUGACUUGUUAGAAGCCCUGAAAAGCAGGAUAAAUGAAACUGAAAAGGAAAAUUGAAAGAUCAUACCUGAGAGUCUCUAAAAAGCAGAUACAUGUGGUCCAAUUUCUCAGCCAGUCAGGGCUAGGUUCAAAUAAUAUAAUCAGCUUUCUCCAAAUCCUCCCAAUUUAAUAAAUGUUACUCACAAACCAGAAUUUGGACAAGACACACAACUGAACAGAAGAGAACCUAGCCAGUUCCAGAACUGAGGUCACAAGAUGGGGAGCGUUUCCAAUAUUCACCCCUUCCUGCUCCAAACCCUUCAUGUCCCUCACGAGGGAAUCAGCUCAGUAGAUGCCACAAGGUCGGGCUGUCCUGGCUUCCUCACCACCUUACAGGAAAUGCUGAAGCCAUACUUUAUGGGAAUGCUGGGAAUACAGAUUUUCUGGAAACAGCAGUGGGGAAAUGCUGAAAUCAUGCUUUGUGAGAAUACCAGGAAUUGAGAUUAUGUGGAAAUGGCAGCCAUAUCAGCGUCAGCAUCUCUCCUCAGAGAGAUGGGGCUCCAAACUCUAGUCCACAGAAGUUUCUCCAGUCAAACCUCAGAGAAGACAUUUCCAGUUGAACAGAAUUCUACAAGAUCUAUGAUAAAGAAUAUUCCACGUUCAGGAGAAAAACUGGUAGUAGGAACAAUGAAGAAAAACAACUGCUUGAUUACAUGGGUUGAGGGGGAUAUGAUUUGGGAUAUGGACUCUAAAUGAACAUCCUAGUGCAAACAUCAACAACAUGGAAAUAGGUUCUGAUCAAGAACUUAUGUAAUACCCAGUGUAAUUGUGCACAGGAGGGGGAGGGGGGAGGGGGAGGGGAGGGAGGGAAAGAAUAAGAUUCUUGUAACCAAGCAAUAAUGUUCUAAAUUGACUAACUAAAUUUUUAAAAAAUUAAAAAACUGCUCCCUGCCAAGUGCCACAUUCCCUUGGAUGGCAGACUCAGGCACCAGGAAGAGGGCUCCUUACCCACAGCGAGCAGGUUCCAGGCAUUCUCCAGCAUCACCUCCCUGUAUAGCUCCUCCUGGGCUCCCAGGUGAAGUCCACAGCCACAUCCUUGAAGGUCACCACCUCCUAGAGCAGCCCAAGUCAGAACACAGAGGGCUGAAAGCUACAUCAUAAUGAAGAGCCCACCUCUGGUCAGUUACAGGAGGAAACUGACACAGAGAAGGGAGGGGCCCAAAGGUCCCACCCUUGGUCAGACUCAGAGUCAGCACUAGAAGUUGAGUCUUUAAGAACCCAAUGGAGGUUUGAGAAAAGCAGCUCAAGGAUACUCCAGAACAAUGCUUGUGUGAAGGAAUAUGUCUAAGGGACUUCCAUUGUAAAUUUGAUCCCAAGGGCCCCAGCAAUGGGAUGAAGGUGUCACAGAGUCAGUUUCUGCUGCCUUGCCCUGGAGAGUCAGUGUGAGAGUCCCUAGCAUCAAUGUGCCACAGCUAGGCAGGGAGGAGCUGGGGCAUGUAAAAGGCAAUAUAGAGAAAGAAAAUUUUUUACCUCUCCACUGGAACUAAAUAGCUCUCUGGGCUAAGGGUUUCUCUUUGAGCUUUCCUUCUCACUUGAUCUCUUGCAAACCCAGUCUGACUGAGUGGAAUGGGGAAAGAGAUCUAGAAAGGUUGAGAUCUCUCUCUCUCUCUCUCUCUCUCUCUCUCUCUCUCUCUCUCUCUCUCUCUCUCUCUCUCUCUCUCUCUCUCUCUCUCUCUCUCUUCUCUCUCUCUCUCUCUCUCUCUCUCUCUCUCCCUCCCUCUCUUCCCAUUUUGAAAUUCUCUGUCUUGACUAAUAAAUACUUAUAAAUCUUAUUGUAAGCUUCCAGAUCAAUUUUUCAUUAAAACACUAUGGAAUGGAGAUGUGAUGAGUAGAGCUGAUGAAUGGAGAAAACCUAUAUAUAAGGAGAAGCCCGAAAGAGAUUCACACAUUCUUGGAUGGAUUCUUGGCAUCUGCUGAGGGAGGACUUUUACAUUGGUGUCUCUGCAUUCCAUUCUGCUGCCUUGGUGACUUGCUGAAAGAAAACCUCAGCGUUGAAGGCACUACUUCUGGGAGAGUCUGGGUUGGUGACUGUGGCUUAAGAAACUCUCAUGGACUUCCACCUGGAGAUUGGAACCUGGAGGUUGAGACUCUUUCACUAUUCUGAUUGGAGAUCUAGACCUGAAGGAAAUUUUGUCGGAGUUGAGCUGGAUUUCUUUGGAUCCACAGUUAUCGGAAAUAAUCUCAUAGCAGACUUCCGGGUAAACAUGGUGGCAGUCUAGAUGCAAGACUCUUCCUCUCCUCAGCACCACUUAUAUAGACUACCUCAAAAGACCCAAAAAACCAAAUUUAUAAGAACAAAGGGACUCUACAGUAGGGUACAGCAUUGAAGGUAUGUGGGAUCUGGGCAUUUCCACACUAUAAGGGGGAGAAAAAAUUCCCACCCCAAAGUGAGCUGAUCUACCCUCCCCCACCACACCUCCAGAGCCAGAGUCAGAGCCAUCACGUGCCAGAAUCAGUGAGUGAGGGGCACCUCUAGAUCCUUAGGAGCUGACUAAGACCACCAAAGACCUAUCCCUGAGAGCAGCUACACCUGAAAUCCCAGCAUGAUGAGCCCAGACAGUGGGCUCUGGUGGGAAAAUAGCACAGAUAAGGGCAGCAAAUAAGCUUGCCUCAGGCAAAAUACUGGUUCCUUGACUCCAUACACAGAGAGCCUGCCCAUCUCAUUCAGAUUUCUGACUAAAAAGGGAAGGAAAACCCCCCACAGUGAUGGCAAAUCAGGAGCAACAACCUCCCUCCACCAAGAAAAACAAAAAGAAAGCAUUGACCCUGGAAAAAAUUUAUGGAGGAAAAACCCAGGCUACAGAGGAAAUGAAGGAGGAAAUUCAAAUAAAGCCAAAGCCUUCCCAAAAAAUGGAAAUUGUCCACAAGCUGUUGAAGAAUUUAAAUUAGAGCUUAUCAAAAAUUUGGAAACCUGGCAAGAAAAGUGGGAGAUAGUUCAAAGAGAAAAUAAUAGUUUAAAGGACAAAAACUCCCAAUUGGAGAAGUAGCUGGAAGCCACGAAAAGCAGAAUAGACCAAACUGAAAAGGAAAACCAGUUUUUUAAGACCAGAAUUAGGCAGCUGGAAGACAAUGCUCUUGCAAAACAAGAAUUAAUAAAGCAAAGUCAAAAGACUGACAAAAUAGAAGAAAAUAUAAAAUAUCUCACUGAGAAGACAAAUCAGGAAAACAGCAUGAAGAAACAAUUUGAGAAUCAUUGGUCUACCUGAAAAGCCAGAAAUAAACAGAAAUCUUGACAUCAUACUGUAAGAAAUCAUCCAAGAAAACUGCCCUGAUAUUCUUGAACAAGGGGGCAAAAUAGACAUUGAAAGAGUUCAUAGAACACCCUCUAUACUAUAUUCCUCAAAAGACAACCCCCAGGAAGAAGAAAGGACAGAACUACUAGAGGAUAUCAAAAUGCUGGGGAAUACACAAGUGACAAAGUCACAAGUGACUUUGAACUUGAAUGGGAUGAACUCACCCAUAAAACAAAAAGAAAUAGGAGAUUGGAUUAGAAUACAAAAUCCUACCAUAUGUUGUCUACAAGAAACACACCUGAGGUGGGUAGAUACAAGGUUAGAAUUAAAGGUUGGAGCAAAAACUAUUGGGACUCAACUGAUAGGAAGAAGGCAGGGGUUGUAAUCAUUAUAUCUGACAAGGCCAAAGUAAAAUUAGAUCUGAUUAAAAGGGAUAGGGAAGGUUAAUAUAUUCUGAUAAAAGGGAGUAUAGACAAUGAGGAAAUAUCAGUAAUCAACAUGUAUGCACCAAAUGGUAUAGCAUCCAGAUUUCUAAAGGAGAAACUAGUGGAAUUGAAGGAGGAAAUAGAUAGUAAAACUAUACUAGUGGGAGACCUGAACCUACCACUAUCAAAUUUAGAUAAAAAAAAAAGAGCUAAAAGAUGUGAAUGAAAUCUUGGAAAAAUUAGAAUUAAUAGAUAUAUGGAGAAAAAUAAAUAGGGACAAAAAGGAAUACACCUUUUCAGCAGCACAUGGUACAUUCACAAAGAUUGAUCAUGUACUAGGUCAUAAAAACUUGGCAAACAUAAAAAAAUGGCAAACAAAUGCAGAAAAACAGAAAUAAUAAAUGCAACCUUUUCAGAUCAUAAUGCAAUAAAAAUAAUGAUCAGUAAGGGUACAUAGCCAAAUCAAAAA